GACGAACGCUGGCGGCGUGCUUAACACAUGCAAGUCGAACGGAAAGGCCCUGCUUUUGUGGGGUGCUCGAGUGGCGAACGGGUGAGUAACACUUGAGUAACCUGCCCUUGACUUUGGGAUAACUUCAUGAAACUGGGGCUAAUACCGGAUAGGAGCUCCUGCUGCAUGGUGGGGGUUGGAAAGUUUCGGCGGUUGGGGAUGGACUCGCGGCUUAUCAGCUUGUUGGUGGGGUAGUGGCUUACCAAGGCUUUGACGGGUAGCCGGCCUGAGAGGGUGACCGGCCAAAUUGGGACUGAGAUACGGCCCAGACUCCUACGGGAGGCAGCAGUGGGGAAUAUUGCACAAUGGGCGGAAGCCUGAUGCAGCAACGCCGCGUGCGGGAUGACGGCCUUCGGGUUGUAAACCGCUUUCGCCUGUGACGAAGCGUGAGUGACGGUAAUGGGUAAAGAAGCACCGGCUAACUACGUG
rnacentral:rRNA from 1 species